rnacentral:rRNA from 1 species
GAUGAACGCUGGCGGCGUGCCUAAUACAUGCAAGUCGAGCGAACAGACGAGGAGCUUGCUCCUCUGACGUUAGCGGCGGACGGGUGAGUAACACGUGGAUAACCUACCUAUAAGACUGGGAUAACUUCGGGAAACCGGAGCUAAUACCGGAUAAUAUAUUGAACCGCAUGGUUCAAUAGUGAAAGACGGUUUUGCUGUCACUUAUAGAUGGAUCCGCGCCGCAUUAGCUAGUUGGUAAGGUAACGGCUUACCAAGGCAACGAUGCGUAGCCGACCUGAGAGGGUGAUCGGCCACACUGGAACUGAGACACGGUCCAGACUCCUACGGGAGGCAGCAGUAGGGAAUCUUCCGCAAUGGGCGAAAGCCUGACGGAGCAACGCCGCGGGAGUGAUGAAGGUCUUCGGACCGUAAAACUCUGUUAUUAGGGAAGAACAAAUGUGUAAGUAACUAUGCACGUCUUGACGGUACCUAAUCAGAAAGCCACGGCUAACUACGUG